AGAGUUUGAUCAUGGCUCAGAAUCAACGCUGGCGGCGCGCCUAACACAUGCAAGUCGAACGAGAAAGUGGAGCAAUCCAUGAGUAAAGUGGCGUACGGGUGAGUAACACGUGGAUCAUCUACCUUUUAGUGGGGAAUAACCCUGGGAAACCGGGGAUAAUACCGCAUAAGCCCGAGAGGGGAAAGCAGCAAUGCGCUGAAAGAGGAGUCCGCGGCCGAUUAGCUAGUUGGCAGGGUAAAAGCCUACCAAGGCAGAGAUCGGUAGCCGGCCUGAGAGGGCACACGGCCACACUGGCACUGAAACACGGGCCAGACUCCUACGGGAGGCAGCAGUGGGGAAUCUUGCACAAUGGGGGAAACCCUGAUGCAGCGACGCCGCGUGAGCGAUGAAGCCCUUCGGGGUGUAAAGCUCCUUCGGCAGGGAAGAUUAUGACGGUACCUGCAGAAGCAGCUGCGGCUAACUACGUGCCAGCAGCCGCGGUAAUACGUAGGCAGCAAGCGUUGUUCGGAGUUACUGGGCGUAAAGGGUGUGUAGGCGGUUGUUUAAGUUUGGUGUGAAAUCUCCCGGCUCAACUGGGAGGGUGCGCCGAAUACUGAAUGACUUCGAGUGCGGGAGAGGAGAGUGGAAUUCCUGGUGUAGCGGUGAAAUGCGUAGAUAUCAGGAGGAACACCGGUGGUGUAGACGGCUCUCUGGACCGUAACUGACGCUGAGACACGAAAGCGUGGGUAGCAAACAGGAUUAGAUACCCUAGUAGUCC
rnacentral:rRNA from 1 species